UUCUGUAUUCAUCUGUUUUUCGGUUCGUGACUGUGUUUGAUCAUGGAGAAAAUGGAGGAAAGAAGUUACUCCGAUGUAGUAUCUGGAAGUGGGUCAUCGGACUCCGAGUCAGAGCUGCUGUGCA